UCUCACCAAUGUUGCAUAAGUUCCUCAAGA
rnacentral:piRNA from 1 species